rnacentral:lncRNA from 1 species
CGCCAUCCAUUUUCGGGGCUAGUUAAUUCGGCACGUGAGUUGUUACACACUCCUUAGCUGAUUUCGAUUUCCAUGACCACCGUCCUGCUGUCUUAAUUGACCAACACCCUUUGUGGGUUCUAGGUUAGCACGCAGUUGGGCACCGAAACCCGGCUUCCGGUUCAUCCCGCAUCGCCAGUUUUGCUUACCAAAAAUGGCCCACUUGGAACUCUCGAUUCCAUGGCGCGGCUCAAUGAAGCAGCUGCGCCGUCCUACCUAUUUAAACUUUGAGAAUAGGUCGAGGGCGUUGCGCCCCCGAUGCCUCUAAUCAUUGGCUUUACCCGAUAGAACUCGUUCACGUGCUCCAGCUUUCCUGAGGGAAACUUCGGAGGGAACCAGCUACUAGACGGUUCGAUUAGUCUUUCCCCUUUAUACCCAAGUCAGACGAACGAUUUGCAUGUUAGUAUCGCUGCGGUCCUCCACCAGAGUUUCCUCUGGCUUCGGGUCCCGAUAGGCAAGCUCAGGCAUAGUUCACCAUCUUUCGGGUCCCGAUAGGCAUGCUCUCACUCGAACCCUUCUCAGAAGAUCAAGGUCGAUCGGCGGUGCAACCCUCAAGGGGAUCUCGCCAGUCCACUUCCUUACGCCUUACGAGUUUAAUCGCCCGUUGACUCGCACACAUGUCAGACUCCUUGGUCCGUGUUUCAAGAUGGGCUGAAUAGGGAGCCCAC